rnacentral:tRNA from 1 species
AUGUUUUUAGUAUAAUAAGUACACUUACCUUCCAAGUAAGUAGUUUACAAUGUAAAAAACGUA